UACGGGGGGUGCAAACGUUGCUCGGAAUUAUUGGGCGUAAAGCGCACGUAGGCGGUCCUGUAAGUCGGGUGUGAAAGCCCCAGGCUUAACCUGGGAAGUGCACUCGAAACUGUAGGGCUUGAGUAUGGAAGAGGGUCUCGGAAUUCCCGGUGUAGAGGUGAAAUUCGUAGAUAUCAGGAGGAACACCGGUGGUGUAGACGGCUCUCUGGACCGUAACUGACGCUGAGACACGAAAGCGUGGGGAGCAAACAGG
rnacentral:rRNA from 1 species